UACGGAGGGUGCAAGCGUUACUCGGAAUUAUUGGGCGUAAAGGGUGAGUAGGUUGUCUCGUAUGUCAGGGGUGAAAUCCCUGGGCUUAACUUAGGAACUGCCUCUGAAACGGCGAGACUGGAGUCCUGGAGAGGGUCGUGGAAUUCUCGGUGUAGAAGUGAAAUUCGUAGAUAUCGAGAGGAACACCAGAGGCGAAAGCGACGACCUGGACAGGCACUGACACUGAAUCACGAAAGCGUGGGGAGCAAACAGG
rnacentral:rRNA from 1 species